rnacentral:rRNA from 1 species
AACAUGGAAUGAACGGGAAUCUUUCCGUAGUCAGACGAGCCCAGGUUACCCAUGUUAUUUCUUGCCAAACCAGUGUAUGAAUCGACACACUGAAACCAGGAAAACAUUGCAUCGAUCGAAAAGUAUGUAGUUAUUGUUGUUAUUAUUUCGUUAUUUAUUGUUGUAUUUGUUGGUAAAUUGCAAUGGCUGUAUAUAUACUAUUAUGAUGAAAUGGCAAAAGUAGUUGUGGAAUGAAAUAGGCGAUUUUCGCUCGCUCCUCGCGGUCAUGCGCCACGAUUAGGGAUCGCGCGGCCCGGGGGGGGGGUGAACGAAAUGCGCCACAGGGAGGUCGAUGCGCCCGCUCGGGUCGCUGGGAUAAUACCGCAGUUCCAGGCCACCUGAGGUCAAAUUAUUGCAAAUUCAAGAAACACGAAAUGUUCUUGGGGGGGCUCGGGGGGGUUGGUUCCAACGUCCCGGCCCCCCCUGGAUACGGGCCUGAGUUCCACACACGUUCUAGUUCAAAGCCAGAAACAGAGCAAGCCAAAGUUCAACUCCGGCGGUAGUGUGGGCAAUAUGUGUCUUUUCUUUAUAAGGGGCGCAGUCCGUGGAAUUGUUUUGUGUUGAGAUGACCAUGUUGUUUUGUGUAAAGCGCCGCGACUGUUGCGGUGUGUGGUGCACUGCCGUUGACCCUUGACAAUGCGAGGGAAAAGUGACCUGGAUGAGAUGAAUGAACCCUUGUACACACUGUGACUUCUGCAACAUACCUUUAUGUACUCACUCAUUUGAGUGACUUACUGUAAUUUGUUAUGAGCAUUGAACUGUCUAUCGUAUGUAUAGGGUGUUGAGGUCAUUCCACGCAAUUUGUAUUGACCUUUACACAUUAUUCAUGAGAUGGCAAUGAUUCUUUAUAGAAAUUGAAGCACAUUUCUAUCAAAUUCAAGGACAUUUCCAUGAAAUUCCAGCAGUUUUCAAGCAGAAACUCGACAUUUAGUAAAUGUAACUAGUUUUGACGGGCUGGCCCGAAAUGUACGGACUUUUCAAGGACUGUACCAACCAUGUUAUGGGACGAGCUGAGCAUGAGCAUCUUCAUGAAUUCGGUUUACGUCAACCUUGUAAUAUAUAGCCACAAAUACAUAACCAUAUAGAAGUCGGCGAAUGGAAAAGGAUGGUUUUGUCACAAACCCGCCGAUGCCACAUGUUUCUUUGGUCAUGUGACAGCGACGUGCGUGUUCUCGUGUAUUGCCUCCGUUGCAAAACGUUGUGUUCGUGAUGUGUUGUGUGAAGCCAUUGCAUCAGUGCUCAGUGAUAGUCGGCACGUUGCCCACCGACACACGUUCGCCUCGAUACCCGUGACGGAGCGCACGACGAGCUUACGAUCCGUUGACUAUAUCUUGAGGUUCAUUUAGUGGGGUGUAAAAUGUGUGUGUUCCUUCGUGGUGAAUGGAUCAUUUUUGUCACCCUGUGUGCAUUUCAUGUUCUCGUGCAUAUGGCAGUUACAUAUUUAAAAGUUGUGCGUAACUGUAAUAGUACAGUUGUGUAAUUUGUGUUUUUAGUCGCAGGCAUUUAUUGUGUGACUUUCACGCAUGACAGUCAAUAAUGAUAUUCUAUUUCAUUUAUUGUUCUAUGUUGUUCCAUGUUCCCUAUAUUAUACUGUAGGGACCUAAUGUUUAUAUUGAAAUUUGUAACUGUUCCAUUGAUAUAUUACAAGUAGAAAUUGUUAACACGACAUUUGCUAUGUCGUCAUGUUUUUGUGGCGAUGUAGGAAAUACGAGACGAAGCUAUAAGCUAUCCUGACAUGUACAGAUUCAGGCACAGCGCAAGAAAGAAACAGCUAGGUUACAACAGCAACAACAACUUCAACGAACGUAUGACCGCUUCGACAUGAUAUUGGAAGUUUUUCGCACAUUGGACGUGUAAACACGAAAUAGUGAGAACGAAAUAGCAACACGAAACGAAACACCAAGAGGAACGACUCACGAAUCACCUAACGACAUAACCACGGAAAGCAAUUAUCCAAUAAUAUGUGUGCACAUCGACUGGCACAUCGACAUUAUAAUCAAUGUGUAUCCUGCUGCUGCCUGUCUGUAAGCUGAAUGUACAGCUGUUGAGCUUGUUACAGAAUUCAAUAUGUGUGUUUUCUUUAUAAGGGGCGCAUUCCGUGCAAUUGUUUUGUGUUGAGAUGACGAUGUUGUUUUGUAUAAAGCAUAUAUAUAUGUGUACACGUCAUAUUUAAUGAUAUUCUUCGCAUUAGUCGAUACAGCAAUUUAUACAUUGGUUUAUAAAAUACCUAGAAAUCGGUGUAAUCACUAAUUGUGUAGAAAAGUGAUUAUUGAUGACUGAUAUGUGCUUGUUCGUGAUUAUAAUUAUACGACUGCUCAUUAUUAUAAUGAUAGUGGUGCUCAAUAUAAUAUUGAAUAGAGCACUGGGCCACUGCUGGCACAAUACUCGGCCGCUUCUCACCCUCUACUGGCCCAGUACUGGCCCAGUACACAACCCGACGCUCGGGAUUUUGAAAGUAAAGAAAUGUGGAAACGGCAAUUCCAGACGAUCCGAUUCGUGCAUGCUGCCGAAAGUGUUUGCAAGAUCGCAAAACGGAUUCGUCGAUGCCGCGUCCCUCCACACGUACAAACCGGGAAUGACCACACAAAAUAGCCGAAUCGCUGGUCAUGGAAUUAGUGACGCGCAUGAAUGCAUCAACGAGAUUCGCACUGUGCAUAUGUACUAUCUAGCGCAACCACAGCCAAGGGAACGGGCUUGGCCAAAUGAGGUUGGAAAGAACACCCUGUUCAGCUGCACUGUAGUGGGACUGUCUUAAGAGACAUGACAGGUGUAGAAUAGGUGCGACGCUUCGGACGCCUGUCAAAUACCACUACUUUCAUCGUGUGUUGACUUAGUGCAUGAAGCGGAAAGCGAGCGUGACGGCUGUUUGUUAUGGAAUGAAACCGUCGGUGUAGUGCCGACGGCAAUGCGCCUCGAAGACAGUGUCACUGUCACACACGGAGUUUCAGUUGGGCGGUACAGCUGUGAAAGGGUAACGCACGUUUGGUAAGGCGAGCUCAGCCACGACAGAAACGUCGCGUACAGCAAAAGGGGAAAAGGUCGGUAGAUUUUCAUUUUCACUACGAAUACACACCGUCAAAGCGUGGCCUAUCCAUCGUUUUCAUUUGACGAGUUUUAACGAAGAGGUGUGACAAAACCUACGACAGGGAUAACUGGCUUGUGCCAGCCACGGGUUCAUAGCGACCUUGGUUUUUGAUGCUUCGAUGUCGGCUCUUCCUAUUAUUCUGAAGCAGAAUUAACGAAGCGUUGCGUGGAGUGCGUUGCGUGCAGGAGGAGGGUGGGAGCGCUGCGUGUUGAACGAGUCGGGCGCGAGCCCGCCCGCAGCCGCCGGUGGCGUACAUCUUGGUCGUAGUAGGAAAUAUUGAAAUAACAAGUUUCAAGACUCAAGUGGAGAAGGUUUGCACGUGAACACCAGUUCCACAUGGGUCAGUCGAUCGUCAGAGAUAGGUGAAGGCCAUUCCGAAGCGACGGCAAUGUGUUUU